GACGAACGCUGGCGGCGUGCUUAACACAUGCAAGUCGAACGGUGAAGCGCCUUCCUUUUUGGUGGGUGUGGAUGAGUGGCGAACGGGUGAGUAACACGUGAGUAACCUGCCCCCUUCUUCUGGAUAACCGCAUGAAAGUGUGGCUAAUACGGGAUAUUCUGGGUCUGUCGCAUGAUGGGUCUGGGAAAGAUAUUGUUUCGGUGGGGGAUGGGCUCGCGGCCUAUCAGCUUGUUGGUGGGGUGAUGGCCUACCAAGGCGGUGACGGGUAGCCGGCCUGAGAGGGUGGACGGUCACACGGGGACUGAGACACGGCUCAGACUCCUACGGGAGGCAGCAGUGGGGAAUAUUGCACAAUGGGCGCAAGCCUGAUGCAGCGACGCCGCGUGAGGGAUGGAGGCCUUCGGGUUGUGAACCUCUUUCGCCAGUGAAGCAGGCCUGCCUCGUUUGUGGGUGGGUUGACGGUAGCUGGAUAAGAAGCGCCGGCUAACUACGUG
rnacentral:rRNA from 1 species